ACUUCAACCAACCUUAAACUUCAUUCAAUAACACAUGCCAGACCAAAUACAUAUGUUUCUAGAUACAUGUAUGAAACGACCAUAUACAAGGAGGUUGUGCCACAAAAGGUUCUGUACAUAUGUUUUUAGAUGUGUCACACAACCAAAAUGAAAAUAAAAUGGCUUAUGUACCAAAACAACCACCAAAUAAGCAUAGUAAAACUUGCCAAUGUCUCUGGGUUCAGCAACCGAGGCAUAUAUCACUUGACCAAAUUAACUGUAGGUCUUCCAAACCUCCAGCAGCUUGCAGAUCUUCCAGAACUCAUCAACUUGUGUACCCUUGGGAAACCUGCAACGGAUAGGAAACUCAAAAUGGGGCUCUUAUUUCAGAUUUUAAAUUGACACAUCAAAGAUUUUGACAUGCUGCAGUUUAACUCAUCAGCAUAAAUAAAAAUCUUCUAAAUGUGUAACACUUCAUCACAGCAAGCAAUCAUUAUUAUAUAAUUAGAAUAAUCAUAUUAAUUGAGAGGACUUCUUCAAUCAGAUCAAGUAUUGUUUACAUACUAGAGGCUACGAUUUGUAUCCGUAAGCUGGCCAUGUGGUAAAGGUAAUGAAAUAGGACCUGGAACCUGGAUAUGAGGUGAUGAGAGAACCCAUGAAAUACAUCUUUAUCUGAACUGAAGUAGAUAAAUAUGACCAUAUCUCAACUAAUUUUGGAAAGCAGGCCAAAUGUCAUAUCUAGCACUAGUAGACAAUAGCUAGUGUAACCAUUGAGAUUUCCUUGAAAUAUCAAAAAAGAAUCUCCCACAAAUUCUGAAGAGCGGCAUGUGGCCCUUUUUAUCGAAAAUGGGGGCCAUGUGGCCCCUUUUAUCGAAAAAAUAACAAAUUAUGUUACCCUAUUUUUGAGAUAUGGAAAACUAAUAGAAAGAAAUACUAUAUUAAAACCGUAUUAAAAACCAUGGAGUUAUUGCCAAUACAGAUUAUUUUGAACCAAUCAGAUAAAGCAUAACUGCAAAAACAAAGAGGAAGUGGUACCUAAAGACAGAGCAUGUAACCACGUGGCAUAUGUGGUUAGCAACUCAAAACUUGAUAAACGAUUUAAAACAGAAUAUGUGGCCUUUGGUCGUAGCUGGCUAGUGGCUACAAAGAACACAAACCAAUGCAUCUUAUAAGCUUGCUUGUGGUAGCAUUGCUACAAACAGAAAUCAAUCAUUAUACAUGAUAUAGUUAUGGAAAGAAAUGCAUCAAUUAUACAUGAUAUGGAAGAAAACGUAUCAUUCUACAUAAUAUGGUUAUUGAAAGAAAUGGAUCGAUUAGUACUCAAAUGUUGACAUCAAAGUAACUGAGCAAAGUAAAAGCAACUAUAUCACUUCUGUUUAUGACUAGAACUGAACCAAUAGACAUCCUAUAGGAAGAGCCUGACACUUAUCUGCUUCCAACUGCAUACACAGAAGCUUUUGCCACUGGGCUACCAUGCUCCCGAUAAACAUUAUACAGUAGCACAUCCCUUCCUUGCUGAGUAAAUCAGACUUCAAGAAACACAAACAAACACCUGAGAAUAAUCACACAAUUUCAACACUAUAUAACAUAAUUUCUACAUCCGAAACAGCUGAGCGUAAGAAAAUUGUAACACUAUAUUAGUGCCCAUUACAAGAUUACUAAUGGCUGAAUGAUAAAAAUAGCAAAGAAAUCUCACCGUUGGUUGAGAAGUACAGGAGGCGGUGAAGCCGAUACCGUAGGUGUCACUGCUCAGGCGGGGAAGUAGAGGUGAGGCGACACUGCUUGGGGGCGGGGAUGGAGAUGAGGUGCUAUCCAGACGUAGUCUACACAGCACUGCUUGGUGCAGAGGACGAAUAGGAGGCAUG
rnacentral:lncRNA from 1 species